AGUCAAGAGCUGGGCGCCGAGGUCAGCUGGUCCAGGGUCCCCGUUUUCUGGCUUGAAGGCUGUCUGUGGGCAAGGGCAUCCCGUGAGGAGAGGACGCUGCCUCCAAGAAUGUACAUGCCAAGGCAGCCGUGAACCUGAAUGUCCUGGACCUUGAACACGCCUGGGCUCUUGUAAGAAAGCUCCAGUCCAAAGAAGCCGAGUGAACUGCCCUUAGCUACCUGGUCACUGGGGGGGCAGAACUGAAACUAGAAUUUGAUUCUUCUGGAUUUCAAGGUCUAGGUCCCUGGCAUCCUGCAGAAUGGCCCUGCUAGUGAGCAGGGGUGCCCUGCCAGUGUCCCCAUCCACUGUCACCCACGGGUGCCAGGACAGUGAGUGCUGCAAGACUGAGAAAGACUAGGCUGAUGUAGAGUCCAGUCUGCGGGGAAUGCUGGCCUGUCCACUUCAGGGAAGGCUGAAAUGGCCACACCCCAAAAGUAAAUACCCAGUACUCUAGAUCUGCUUCCCAAAUACCACCUUCCCAGCCUGCAGUGUCCAGCCGCACAGGCCAGGUCUCGGGAGGGACCUGUGUGGACAUGGAGCAGCAGCGUGCUGGCACAGAGCCAAGACAAAGAAGGCACUGGGUCCCAGAGGACACAGGAGAAAGAACAUCACUGGAGCAGAGACGUUCUGGGAGAAAGCAGAGUUGAGUCCCCAGGGCUAGGCCAGGGGCCUGGCGCUGUUGUUGGAGGUGUACAGCCCACGGUGCUAGCGAUGCCUUCCAGGUUUAAAACUCCACCUCAGGUUUGGGCUGAAGAGCGUUCUAUCUUGGACGAAGAUGCCUACAGCAACCAAGGCCUGCUGCCCCUUUGGUAAGAUCUCCUAGGACACCACUCCUUUAUGGCUCCUGGACACACCUAACGCAGAAGAGCACACGAGCAGCUAAACUCAGCAGCAGGCCAGAGUGAGGAGCCACACCGAGAAGUUCCUCCAAGCAAAGAUUGGGCUCCCAGCAGGGAGCAGCAGCAAGCACAUCAGCCUGCUUGUCUACACAGAGCUUAGGGCAGGAUCCGGAAGGCAGGGUCCCCCUGGGUCUCAUCACUCACUCCCUGGGGACCCUGGCAGGAAGGGCAGGAAGCCACCCUCACCCACCACACCCUGCCCUCCCUGGAAUGGGGGCUCUGCCGGUGUCUCAAGAGGAUCUGCCAUCAUCCAGGGAACUGGGUGGACAUGAGCCAGGUCCAAGCAGGGGACUGUCCUCAGCCACAGAACUAGAAACUGCCAGAGAUUGGCAAGAUCGAGAUGACAGUGUUUGUUUAUUGAAUAAAAACAUUAAACUAACUAUAGAAAACAAUAACGGAUUGCACACGUCAAAAAGCUAGAAGAAAGGGUUCUGAUGUUUCACCAUGAAGACUUAAAUGGGCAGACAGCUGUGUUCCACUCCGACAUCACACAGAGUGUGCUUGCAUCAAAGCAUGACUGGCACCUCACUGCAUUAAGGUGCAUGAUUUUUAAGUUAUGUAUCAAUUUUGAAAGUUGAUUUGAUUUAAAAAAUAAAACAAAGUAGUUCUCCUUUUAAACAAUCAGAGGGCCGCCUUCUCUGCAGAUUGAAAGCUGGUGCAGGACUGCACACACCAGAGCAGGAGAAACAGCGGGCAUCGCUCAAGACUUGGUGUGAGAUGGUCCUGAUGCCCACCCAGUCCUUUAAAUACCCAAGCCUGUGUGUCUGUGCCGACAAAGGAGCCGUCAAUACCGGUGUGUAGGAACAGAAGCAAGCCAGACAACCCGCUCAACACAAGACCAAGGCCUCCCUGAAUUAGAGUAGACACGGAGCAAGAACACGAAAGCUCCUGAAAGUUCUUUCUGCUGCCCUCUGAAACCCUACGGAAAUGAGACAAAUCCAAGGUUACGAGUCAUUUUGUAGGUACGUCCAGGGGUGUGUGUUUUGCAGAGUCGAGUUUGUGUACAGAAGUCAGGUUUAAGCUGAACUGCUCGUGUGCUCUUAUCUGACUGGACUCUUCAAAAGGGCAUCUGAAAAGAUCUCCAUUUAGAGAUGUGCACAGUUGAGUGUCACCCUCUGUGCUGGCUGGUGCUGGGUCAGAAGUCCUGCGCGAAGGCAGCUGGUGUCUUUCUUCCUCUAAUGGGCACCGUAAGUCCCCAGGAGAAGGAAGAGCCACAUACUGGUUCUGCUGUGCUGUGGAUAGCUGAUCCGGGGGGACAUCCCUCUGCAUGACGUGAAGAGGGCCGGGAGCAAAGUAGGCUCAGCCCAGGAUCUUUCCAUGCUAUUGAGAUCAGACACCAGGGACUUGUGCUUCUUCUUAGAAAGUCCAGGACAAAGGAACCAUGAGCUUUCUGCAGAUUGGUUCUGAAAUGAGCCGGGACCUAUUCUUGGCAGUUUUGAGUUCAGUCUACCUGCAGGUUCUGAAGGAAACUUUAUUGUCACAUUAAAAGUCACCGUUCACAUUUAUCUGAAUUUGAUAUAAAAACUAAAUUUUGUUUCAAAAAAAAGUUUUAUAAACUAUGCCAAUCACAAUGGAAUUCUGAAUAAUCCAAUUUUAGGGGGUCAAGGGUCUGCAACUCUGAGGGAAUGUCACUGUGAGCUGUAUGAGCUGCUCCGUGGGGCACGUGCCACCUUCCACAAGCCAGCAAGGUGCACUCGCCCCUGUCAUCCCUCAUCACGGGGCAGCCACCUUUAUCAUGUGGACAGAGAGCAGAUCAUUCUGCAGACAGGAAAACUGGCCCACACACAGAGCCCAGAAAGCAGGUGGGGACACUGCUGGGGACUUUGUGCCCAGGAACAGGAGAAAAUUUGCAGGAACAGUAGAAAAUUCAGUUGAAGACUUUCUUUAGAUGCAGAAAAAUAGGGAAAACUGAUGUUCCAUCAAUUUCACUUGAAAGCAAAAAUAUCCUUCAAAAAACUUGGGAAGGCACAGAAUCUGUCCCAGACAUUUGGCCCAGAAGCAUCUGGUGUGAUCAGGUCUGGACUCCACCAGACCCGUCCCAUGCAGACCCCACUAGCUCUGGAGGAAGCUCCAGGUUAGGAAGAUCAGCCCCCAUGCAAAGAAAACUGGUGAGAGAUAUAGGGCAGGGGAGGAGUCCCCUUCAAGCCCCAUCUCAGGUCUGUGCACAAAGGUGACAAACUCAAAGAAAGAGAGGACAAGAAGAGGUCUGGUGCUAAAUCUGAAGACACAGAAGAACAGUCUGUCCUCGCCACAGAGAUGAUGUCACCCCUGGGCACUUCUCCCAACCUGUGCUGGGGUUGGAUGUGUUGGGCAGAGGCCUUUCAGUAAAGCCCGGAAGUACUUAAUGGUAAACUUGAACCACAUGGAAGAAAAGACCAUUCUUCACACCCAGUUCCUUGAUCUCCACGUCUGAGGUGUGGAGCCAGAUCUCUGUGCAUGCCCUGCACAGAGCUGAGCUGGCCUCCUCCCCCAGCCUCCAGGCCUACCUGAGGCUUAUCCUGAAUCUCACCUUUGCUCCACUCAGCCCUCAGAGUGUGGGCUCCAGGGUGGACAGAGAGGGUAGGCCCAGGCUGUCUCAGGGACCCUCAGUGUGUGACCAGCUCAGAUCAGCACGGGACCUAGGCUGCUGGAGCCUUGGGGCUCACACUGUCCUGUGAGCUUCCUGUUCUCUCAAGAAGAAAAACACAGUCGAGAUGCAAAGAAAAGAGAAGCAAGGGUCAUAUUGAAAUUUGCUUUCAGAAAGAACCAGAAGAGAUGUAAAUACAAUAACAAAGUCACGGCAGCAGGCGUAAGACAGAUGUUCUGGGCCGCAUGUUGGUGUCCUGCCAAAACUCACAGGUAGAAAUCCUCCCGCUGGGAAGACGUAUCAUCCUCACAAACAGGACUGACCUUAUAAACAGACCCAGAGGGCUCCCGCCCCUCCCACCAUGUGAGCACUCAGUGAGAAGGUGGCCUCUACACAGGGGCAACAGCCUCACCACCCGGUCUGCCUGCGUUCUGACCUUGGACUCACAGCUCCAGAGCCGUGAGCAGUUGCCGUCUGUGGUACUCAGUCAGGGCAGACCAACAGCACCGAGGCAGUGCUGAUGAGCAGAGAGGAGGUGGACAGACGUGGAUCGCUGGAGAGGAGGAAGAAAGUGGGCUGGACAGACCCAGGCCCACUGCAGAAAUCUUGGCAGACACAGGAUUGUUUCUCAACUGGGUUAUCUAGGCAAGCAGGCUUCCAAGACAGGGUGAAGGGACACAGCCUGAUCAGCCACCAGGGCCCGGGCACCCUCUGCAGCCAUGCCCCGUGGCCAGCAGGAAGCCCUCAGAGGAGACUUUCCAAAGACCUUGACCAGUCAACACCGUUUGCAGAGGCCACCCCAAAGCUCUUCAACACCUACACCCCAGGGUCCCUACCCGACAGUCCACUCUCCCAGAUGGCAGAGCAAGGCCAGCCCAAGGGACACACGCCAGUUAGGAGAAGACCAGAAAAGCCAGAUCCGGGAAGCAAGGGAGUUCCUGGGAGGCUACAGGAAUCUACACCAAAUUGUCACCUUCACCUAAGCAGCAAAAGGAGCCUGUAGUGGACGUGUGAGAGGUGGUGAGAUGGCACGCGCCCGGUGUGUGCGUGACCAGAGGGCAGAGAGCAUGCAUCACGUCCAACACAGCCCUGCUCCUCAGACUUUCCUCCUCACAGAGAAGCCAGCAUUAUCCACGAGAAGUCUGAAACUCAGCCCCAAACAAAGCGCAAACUGACCAAACACUGGACACCCUGGGGACCUCCAAACAAAGGCCCUGUCCAGCGCCACCCUCGGAGGUAGGGCCCAGGUGGUCCUGAGGCCACAGGCCAGUGAAGGACACCGCUGCAAGUACACUGAGGUCACAUAUCCACACGAGGACAAGACAGGAAAUGGGCGAGGCUGCUUCCAGAGGGCACCUGAACUACUGAGUGGGUGACAUCUGCUGUCUUUCACUUUUUUGUUGAAACGGCAGAACUGACAGCACUGCGGGUGGCAUUGACAUCCCAGAGUCACGGGCACGCAUUUCCUCAGAUGGGAUGGGGUCCGCAGCCAAGCACGCAGCUCAGGCCCUGGGGUGAGGGGCACCUGGGCACUCCGGCUUCUCUGCAUGCCUGUCGGCAGUACCUGGAACAUGCCACCACUGCAGCCACCGGCCACCCCCAGCAGGUCAAGUUGGGCCCCAGCAGGAUGCUCAGAACAGGGACUGAUUGGCUCCCUGGCUGGGGCAUGGCCUGGACCAAGUCCAGGGCCCGUGGCGAAGGCCUAUUCUGUGGCUCCUGGGGUAGAACAAAAUGCUGCAGAGAUGCAAGGCCCAGGAAUGACCAUUGUGGCUCAUGCCCGGCACCACAUUCUGGAAGGAGGCUGGCAGGGUGGACCUCGGGGAGCCUCUUUGUGGAGACCAGCAGGGCAGACCUCAGGGAACCUCGCCUUGACAGUUGGGACAGCCGUGGAUGAGCACUCAGCAGAGACUGCAAUGGUGCCAGCCUCGUGGCCUGAGCAGGCAACGCCCUGACUCACCAGCGUGAAUUCCAGCACCUUUGAGCAUUUCACUUGUCCACACCCAGGAGAACCCAGGGUUGUGGGCUUAGUAAAGGAGGAUUCUUGGAUCCAGUGCCAGAACCCCAUCCAGGAUGAUCCCUAACGAAGACCUUGCACCCCCACCCCCACCGUCCCUAGCGGUCCCGUGGCCUGGGUGUGUGUCAAGCGCUCCCAUGGCGGGUGGCCUCUCCAGACCAGCUUGUUGCACAGACACAUUAGCCUGAGACAAACCUCGCGGGCACCUCAGCAGUUGCAACUUCUUGGGUCUGAGCCACCCCACCACAAGGACGCACCAACCGUUACUCCACAAACCUCGACGCUCAGUCCACCUGUACUCAGUGUUGGCAGUCGGACUUGCGCUGCUGCAAGCACUGGUUGUACCUCCUGCAGCCAUGACCUCUGACCUCUACAGAAGUGGGAUAACCAGGUCACAUGUCUAGUGCCACGGUUGACCUGAGAAGGGGCUGCUCAGGGUUUCCCAGGCAGUCCUGCCCUGGACACCCACCAGCACCCAUGGAAAACUCCCCGCUGUGCGCUCCCACCAGCACCUGCUCUGGCUGUACUUCUCAUCUUAGCCACACAGGAGAUGAUGUUUUUCAAGAGAAACAUUUACAAAAGUAAGAUCACAUCUAAUUGUCUACUUUAUGAAAUAAGACUGCUCAGGGACCUGGACAUCACACAAGUCAAGUUUCCUUAAUGGCUAGACACCAGCUUUGGGGAAGCCUGAGAACCCCUGUGUGGACAAAAGGCCUGUUGGGUCCAGCCCCUCCCACUAGUGCACCCUCAGGUCCCAUCUCCCACUCGGCCAGUCCUGCCAAAGGGAUAACCACAUGAGCAAUGGCCACCAGGGCCCUGGUGUGAGCUGAGCACUCAGGUGCGUCUACUACAGACAUCUUUCAUCCCCUCAGCUCACAGCUGGUGAGGCCGAUGCUGUCCACACAGCUGCCCCUUCUUCAUCCGUGGACCCCAGAGGAUGCCUGAAACAGUGUUAGUACUAAACCCCACAUACCCUGCAUUCUUCUCACAUGUGCACUUGAUAAAGUUUAACUUGCAAACCAGGAACAGUAAGAGAUUAACCACAAUGACCCUAAAACAGAACAACUACAGCAUACGAUAGACGAGUUAGGUGAACACCACCUCUGGCUCUCCUUCAAAUACCUGCCCUUCUCAGGACGGUGUGGGAUACAGUGCCAAAUGAGAUGGAGUGGGUGGGUGAAGCAGGCACUGGACACCAUAAAGGACACUAGGUAAGUGUCCAGUUGAUCCAAUAACUGAGGCCACUUCUGCAUGACCAAUGGGAGGGUAGCAUACACAGUGAGGAUACACUGGACGGGGGCGUGAUUCACACCCGAGGCAGGUUGGGCAGAACAGCAGGAGAGUUCAUCAAGCUACUGAGGAAGAACAGCACACUAAUUAAAACACACGAAUUGCUUCCUUCUGGGAUUCUAUUUAGCACGUUCAGACUGCAGUUGACUAGGGGUAACUAAAACUAGAAAGUGAAACCUCAGACAAGGGGGAGACACAGCCAGGGACCCCCAUGAGAAACAGGGCCUUGGGAUAAGGGAAGAGACCUCUCGGGAGAUUACAACAGCACAGUCAGGCUCAGUCGGAUGGGUUGACAGUCAGCCCAGCACAUCAGGAGGCAAAACAGGAGGCAGAGCAGGAGCUCAGGGCAGCACAGUACUUCAAACAUAAGCUUGCCCCCCAACGCACCGUCUCAGAGCUCUGUGGGGGCAAAUCAGUGAGCAGAAAAAGGGCCCGAGCCCACGCUUACACGCAGCUCCUGGCACAACUAGACACCAAGCAGACCCUGGGACAUGACACGGGCUGACAGCAGGGACCCAUAUACUGCACAGCUAAGGGGCAAGCACAGGAGGGACAGGACGCACCGCCUCCGUGGAGGCCACAGCUGCUUCCUUCUCAUGCACACUGGGGCACGGCCCCUCUCCUCCACUGGGUGGGCAGCGAGACUGACUCUCCCUUCCCCUCCCACUGUCACUGUAAGGGAGGAAGAACCAUUUCUACCACUGAAAAUUAGUGAUGGUUCAUUCUCCUGGAAACACCCGAGGAGCUCCUCCCUGCAAACCUGGACUCGAGCCAUUCCAGGCACGAGCACGGCACACCUUACUUCAUGCUCUAAUGCAGACGGUCAAUUUCUCAAGUGAGGCAAAAAAAACAUAGAUCAGAAACACACCAGCGUCUUCACGCCAAAUUCCUGCACCCCAUGUUUAGUGACCUUGUGGUGUCCUGCCUCAUGGAAGAGGAGGGUCUCAAGCCAGGCAGUCAAAGACAGAGCCGGUGAUUUGUUUCCGGGUUCCAUGCCCAGAUGUCACUGGAGGCCAAACAGCAGGCGUUAAGGCUUGGAUAUGAGGGGUGCCCCCAGAAGAUCACAUUGUGUAAGACGAUGCAAGAAGGUUCAGAGGUGAAAUGGUGAAAUUAUGAGAGGCGAACCCUAAUUGCAGAUUAAUCCACUGAUGGAUUAACUGAGUGGAGGCUACAGGCAGUUGGUGUGGCUGGAGGAGGUGUCAUUGGUGUGUGCCUGCAGGGUUCAUAUAUUGUCCCUGGUGAGCAGAGUUCUCUGCCUCCUAGUGCAAGGUCCUGAGCAGCUAUCCUCCUCCACACCCUUCUACCAUGAUGUUCUGCCUCAUCUUGGGCCCAGAGCCAUGGAGCUGGAUGACCAUGGACUGAACCUCUGAAACCUGAUCCAAAAUAGGCAUCUCCUGCUCUACGUUGUUCUUGUCAGGCCUUUUGGUCACAGCAAUGAGAAGCUGCCUAAAGCAGCAGCAUUUCAGGUUUCGUGAUUAGGUGCCAACAGCCACACUGUGGGACAGAAAGUCUCGCAUUGCCCCUGUAUUUGUACAAAGUGCCCUAAUACGUUUCCCAGGGACAGCCAUGGCUGGUUCAUACAUCUGGCGGAGACCAGCAAGACAAGAUGACCUUCCUAAUUGUCGUGAUGAGAAGCACAAUUGCAAGUGACUUUAAAACACAUGGUGAACUUCAUUAUGCUAAAAUAUAAUAGCUUCUGCUUUGGGGCUCAUGAUGAAUAUUAAUAUGGAGACUCCAGAGGGAAAUUGUGCUCUAAAUUUCAUAUUGUAUAAAACCCUUUCAAUACCAAAGAGAGCAUUUAUUUAUAGUCAUCAGGCUUCUUCAUAGAUGCUAUUAAAUAUUCCAUUAAACAUG